GGUGUUUGAUGCUGAAAUGUUUGUUUUUACUAUGCAGUUUUAGCAACAUUUUAAACAAUGUUUCUACAAGACUGCAAGCCUUCCGGACAGCGAACUGUCUUCUUAUUCUACAUAAAGCACUAUGGACAAGGAAUAUUUGAAAUAAAUGAAUGAAUAGAUAGAUAAUAAAUAAAAUAAAGCAAGCACUGGAACUGGA